GGUGAACGCUGGCGGCGUGCCUAAUACAUGCAAGUCGAGCGAACAGACGAGGAGCUUGCUCCUCUGACGUUAGCGGCGGACGGGUGAGUAACACGUGGAUAACCUACCUAUAAGACUGGGAUAACUUCGGGAAACCGGAGCUAAUACCGGAUAAUAUAUUGAACCGCAUGGUUCAAUAGUGAAAGACGGUUUUGCUGUCACUUAUAGAUGGAUCCGCGCCGCAUUAGCUAGUUGGUAAGGUAACGGCUUACCAAGGCAACGAUGCGUAGCCGACCUGAGAGGGUGAUCAGCCACACUGGAACUGAAACACGGUCCAGACUCCUACGGGAGGCAGCAGUAGGGAAUCUUACGCAAUGGGCGAAAGCCUGACGGAGCAACGCCGCGUGAGUGAUGAAGGUCUUCGGAUCGUAAAACUCUGUUAUUAGGGAAGAACAAAUGUGUAAGUAACUAUGCACGUCUUGACGGUACCUAAUCAGAAAGCCACGGCUAACUACGUG
rnacentral:rRNA from 1 species